UAGUUCCACCAUUCAAAUCAUCGCAUUGCUCAAAUGUCUUAUUAAAAUUAUUACAGUAGAUAAAUGGAAAAUACAUCGAGGUUUGAUAAAUCCUUUGUUUAAGUACGAAAAUAUAAAAGAAAUUUUUUUCCCGAUUUUUCAAGAGAAAUCAAAACUACUAAUUCAGAAUCUACAAAAGGAAAUGGGUAAAACAAAACCGUUUGAUAUAUUUCACUAUGCAUCAGAUAUUAUUCUUAAUACAGUUUGUCGUAAGUAUUAGAAUCUC